UACGUAGGGUGCAAGCGUUAAUCGGAAUUACUGGGCGUAAAGCGUGCGCAGGCGGUCCCUUAAGUCUGAUGUGAAAUCCCCGGGCUCAACCUGGGAAUUGCAUUGGAGACUGCAAGGCUAGAAUCUGGCAGAGGGGGGUAGAAUUCCACGUGUAGCAGUGAAAUGCGUAGAGAUGUGGAGGAACACCGAUGGCGAAGGCAGCCCCCUGGGUCAAGAUUGACGCUCAUGCACGAAAGCGUGGGGAGCAAACAGG
rnacentral:rRNA from 1 species